UGGGCCGAGCUGGAUUUGAACCAGCGUAGACAUAUCAUCAACGAAUUUACAGUCCGUCCCCAUUAACCGCUCGGGCAUCGACCCA
rnacentral:tRNA from 3 species